AUUGAACGCUGGCGGCAGGCCUAACACAUGCAAGUCGAACGGUAACAGGAAGAAGCUUGCUUCUUUGCUGACGAGUGGCGGACGGGUGAGUAAUGUCUGGGAAACUGCCUGAUGGAGGGGGAUAACUACUGGAAACGGUAGCUAAUACCGCAUAACGUCGCAAGACCAAAGAGGGGGACCUUCGGGCCUCUUGCCAUCGGAUGUGCCCAGAUGGGAUUAGCUAGUAGGUGGGGUAACGGCUCACCUAGGCGACGAUCCCUAGCUGGUCUGAGAGGAUGAACCAGCAACACUGAAACUGGAACACGGCCCAACUCCUAAGGGAGGCAGCAGUGGGGAAUAUUGCACAAUGGGCGCAAGCCUGAUGCAGCCAUGCCGCGUGUAUGAAGAAGGCCUUCGGGUUGUAAAGUACUUUCAGCGGGGAGGAAGGGAGUAAAGUUAAUACCUUUGCUCAUUGACGUUACCCGCAGAAGAAGCACCGGCUAACUCCGUG
rnacentral:rRNA from 1 species